rnacentral:rRNA from 1 species
GACGAACGCUGGCGGCGUGCCUAAUACAUGCAAGUCGAACGCACUCUCGUUUAGAUUGAAGGAGUUUGCUCCUGAUUGAUAAACAUUUGAGUGAGUGGCGGACGGGUGAGUAACACGUGGGUAACCUGCCCUAAAGUGGGGGAUAACAUUUGGAAACAGAUGCUAAUACCGCAUAAAACCUAACACCGCAUGGUGUAGGGUUGAAAGAUGGUUUCGGCUAUCACUUUAGGAUAGACCCGCGGUGCAUUAGUUAGUUGGUGAGGUAAAGGCUCACCAAGACCGUGAUGCAUAGCCGACCUGAGAGGGUAAUCGGCCACACUGGGACUGAGACACGGUCCAGACUCCUACGGGAGGCAGCAGUAGGGAAUCUUCCACAAUGGACGAAAGUCUGAUGGAGCAACGCCGCGUGAGUGAAGAAGGUUUUCGGAUCGUAAAACUCUGUUGUUGGAGAAGAAUGUAUCUGAUAGUAACUGAUCAGGUAGUGAUGGUAUCCAACCAGAAAGCCACGGCUAACUACGUG